rnacentral:tRNA from 2 species
CGGGACGUAGCGCAGCUUGGUUAGCGCGCCUGCUUUGGGAGCAGGAGGUCGCGGGUUCGAAUCCCGCCGUCCCGA